CCUAAGCCGAGGCCGAAAGGCGUAGGCGAUGGACAACAGGUUGAUAUUCCUGUACCACCUCCUCACCAUUUGAGCAAUGGGGGGACGCAGGAGGAUAGGGUAAGCGCGGUAUUGGAUAUCCGCGUCCAAGCAGUUAGGCUGGGAAAUAGGCAAAUCCGUUUCCCAUAAGGCUGAGCUGUGAUGGCGAGCGAAAUAUAGUAGCGAAGUUCCUGAUUCCACACUGCCGAGAAAAGCCUCUAGCGAGGUGAGAGGUGCCCGUACCGCAAACCGACACAGGUAGGCGAGGAGAGAAUCCUAAGGUGAUCGAGAGAACUCUCGUUAAGGAACUCGGCAAAAUGACCCCGUAACUUCGGGAGAGGGGGUGCUCUGUUAGGGUGCAAGCCCGAGAGAGCCGCAGUGAAUAGGCCCAGGCGACUGUUUAGCAAAAACACAGGUCUCUGCGAAGCCGUAAGGCGAAGUAUAGGGGCUGACGCCUGCCCGGUGCUGGAAGGUUAAGAGGAGCGCUUAGCGUAAGCGAAGGUGCGAAUUGAAGCCCCAGUAAACGGCGGCCGUAACUAUAACGGUCCUAAGGUAGCGAAAUUCCUUGUCGGGUAAGUUCCGACCCGCACGAAAGGCGCAACGAUCUGGCACUGUCUCAACGAGAGACUCGGUGAAAUUAUAGUACCUGUGAAGAUGCAGGUUACCCGCGACAGGACGGAAAGACCCCGUGGAGCUUUACUGCAGCCUGAUAUUGAAUGUUGGUACAGCUUGUACAGGAUAGGUAGGAGCCUUGGAAACCGGAGCGCCAGCUUCGGUGGAGGCAUCGGUGGGAUACUACCCUGGCUGUAUUGACCUUCUAACCCGCCGCCCUUAUCGGGCGGGGAGACAGUGUCAGGUGGGCAGUUUGACUGGGGCGGUCGCCUCCUAAAAGGUAACGGAGGCGCCCAAAGGUUCCCUCAGAAUGGUUGGAAAUCAUUCGCAGAGUGUAAAGGCACAAGGGAGCUUGACUGCGAGACCUACAAGUCGAGCAGGGACGAAAGUCGGGCUUAGUGAUCCGGUGGUUCCGCAUGGAAGGGCCAUCGCUCAACGGAUAAAAGCUACCCCGGGGAUAACAGGCUUAUCUCCCCCAAGAGUCCACAUCGACGGGGAGGUUUGGCACCUCGAUGUCGGCUCAUCGCAUCCUGGGGCUGUAGUCGGUCCCAAGGGUUGGGCUGUUCGCCCAUUAAAGCGGUACGCGAGCUGGUUCAGAACGUCGUGAGACAGUUCGGUCCCUAUCCGUCGCGGGCGCAGGAAAUUUGAGAGGAGCUGUCCUUAGUACGAGAGGACCGGGAUGGACGCACCGCUGGUGUACCAGUUGUUCUGCCAAGGGCAUCGCUGGGUAGCUAUGUGCGGACGGGAUAAGUGCUGAAAGCAUCUAAGCAUGAAGCCCCCCUCAAGAUGAGAUUUCCCAUUCCGCAAGGAAGUAAGAUCCCUGAAAGAUGAUCAGGUUGAUAGGUCUGAGGUGGAAGUGUGGCGACACAUGGAGCUGACAGAUACUAAUCGAUCGAGGGCUUAACCA
rnacentral:rRNA from 1 species